AGCAGCCGCGGUAAUUCCAGCUCCAAUAGCGUAUAUUAAAGUUGUUGCAGUUAAAAAGCUCGUAGUUGAAUUUCGGGAUCAUCAGGUUGGUCGUGCCUCUGGUAUGUACUUUCCUCGAUGGUUCCUCCUUCUUGAAGAACCGUAAUGCCAUUAAUUUGGUGUUGCGGGGAAACAGGACUGUUACUCUGAAAAAAUUAGAGUGUUUAAAGCAGGCAAUCGCUUGAAUACAUUAGCAUGGAAUAAUGAGAUAGGACGUUCGAUCCUAUUUUGUUGGUUUCUAGGAUUGACGUAAUGAUUAAUAGGGAUAGUUGGGGGCAUUAGUAUUCAAUUGUCAGAGGUGAAAUUCUUGGAUUUAU
rnacentral:rRNA from 1 species